rnacentral:rRNA from 1 species
ACGCUCGACACCUACGGGNGGCAGCAGUGGGGAAUAUUGCACAAUGGGGGAAACCCUGAUGCAGCGACGCCGCGUGAAGGAUGAAGUAUUUCGGUAUGUAAACUUCUAUCAGCAGGGAAGAAAGUGACGGUACCUGACUAAGAAGCCCCGGCUAACUACGUGUCAGCAGCCGCGGUAAUCUGAGCGGGCUGGCAAGGC